GAAGAAUGCUAUGAUGAUAAAUGUUAAUCCCAGCUCAUUAUGAGGCCUUCUGGCUUCCAACUAGAAGGUCCAGGAAUGGACUUUUUUCCAACAUCUGUCUGAGCUUGAGC